UCAUCUUUCCCUAUACCAAUCACAGACAUAUUAAUCAGUCAUUUGUGAUAUUUUUUGGAUAAGAUCUGAGAGGUUGUCCUUUUAAUAUUUUUAGCAAGAAAAUUUGACGGCCACCAUAAAACUCGGUAAAACUUUUCCAGAUCACACAAUCAUACCCACACCACAACCUUCUCAAAACUGACUUUUCAUAGAAAAUAUGUCUUCUCUAAGUGGUCAUUGUCACAAUCUCUUUCCCAUUCUAUAGCACAUUUAAUCAUGGGUGGAGUUGAAUUCAGCCAUUAUCCGUCAGAACAACUAAAAAAAAAGCAAAGGAGUCCUUAAUAAAAAGGGUCUCGCUGCAAUUCUGGUAGCUUCUAUUGUUGCAACUGUUCUCCUCCUCUCCUGUGUGUAUAUGUAUUGAUGGCAGAAGAAAAAAGGAAAGGGCAAAAUGAAUUUUAUUCAUUUCACAAUUUUCUUACUAAGACAUGUCAUAAGAAAGAAAUACACCACAUAUUGAUUGAUACAUCAUAAUCCUUAAGCAUUAGCAUCACACAUCAUGUUAGUCCUGCCUAAAUAGUAUAUGUUGUGUCCCCAAUUCAUCCAAUUCUUGCCAUAAAAUAAGCCACAUCUACCUUGUGCAUAUAAUACAGUACCGAGUUAGUUUUUACUGUCACAAGCCAUUCACCUAUGUUUUACAGACAUUAACCAUCAUUGUCCAACCCUAAACCAACCACGAUUAUCUCGAUCUUGCCAUCUCAACCAGAUCCCCCAACAAUUGAGAAAAGGGGCUUCGUCAAGCUAACUCCAUCCGGCGUUUCAGAUUCAGCAAUCUAUCAUUUUGCCGGCGUGCAUCCACUGUCUGUGAUAGAUUAUAAGGUAUCAAACUGGUAGGCAUCAAAGUUACUAGGCCGCACAUCGAUCCGUCCGGCGCUUUCAGCAAAGUUUUGUCGCAUAAAUUUUGUGCCGGCAACGCUCAGGGCUUGGUAUAGCUCGACCAUCAGUAGCGAUAACAUGUAUACAUAUAAGUAUUCUAUUCUCUAUUCUAUACAGAUAAGUGUUCUAUUCUCUGGUAAUGUUUAUGGCACGUAUCACUGAUUGGUCUAUCUAAAUGCUUUUUAUUUAUCCAUAUUGCUUUCAGAGUCUAGAAGACACCAUAUUAUCACAUUGUGCUUUCAUGUAUGCUCGGUAAAAUAAUUGUGCAGUGCGCAUGCUACAUAGGCAUGGCUUUAAGAAACCUAGUAGAGUAAUUUUCAUCAGUCUAUUCCACAAACAUUAAAGGGCAAAGCCAAUAGAAAAGCGUUCGGUAAUGGUCGUGAGAAAUGCUUGCAUCUCUGGGUGAUGAAGUCCACUAUUAGAGUUUUAUACUUCGUAGAUUUUGCAUACUCAAUGGCAAAAAUCCAAAAGAUAACAAGUCGCUCACGAAUAGGGGAGAUGUGGCAAAUUACAUCAGGAGUAACAACAUGCAAGUUGAAAACAAAUACUUCUUCAACCGAGAGCAUUGACAAGAUUAAGAUAUAGAAUAUGCUAAAAUUUAUGUUUUAAUUAACCAUUUAUGUUGUUGGGUAAGGAGAGAUAAUUUCUUUCGUUUGUAACUAAUUUAGAACUUACUUUAGGCAACGUGUGUCGCUCCUUUCUCCUGCGAGGGCGGGAGACACCUCCUCUUUUUUAAAUCUGAAAAGUUAUGCAGGAUAGUUGUUGGAAAAAAGACCAGAUAUGGACUUAUCCUCCAAUAAAAGUAG